rnacentral:rRNA from 1 species
AUGUCCUCGCCGCCACCAAUCCCGCCGCCACCCCCCCCACCACCACCGUUGCCCGCCAACUCCCCCACCGCCGAUGCCUCCAACUCCACCGCCGCCGCCUCAUCGCCGAGCGCCACGGCCUCGCUGUCGGCGCCGAUCUCCCCCGCACCCAGCACAACGCCGGGCCAGGGCCAGCCACCGCCCCCCGUCCAAAACUCGCCGCCGUCACCUUCCCCCGUGCCGCAGCAGUUUACGCCGGAGGCCAUUGCCGGCGUGCUCAACGACCUGGUCGUCGCGGUCCAGGGCAUCCGCCUCUACUUGGCUAGCCCGUACGGGCCGCCCCUGAUGGAUAAGUCUGUGUACUAG